GAUGAACGCUGGCGGCGUGCCUAACACAUGCAAGUCGAACGAACAGACGAGGAGCUCGCUCUCCUGCCGUUAGCGGGGGACGGGCGAGUAACACAUGGAUCACCAACCACUAAUUCUGGGAUGACUUCGGGAGGACGGUGCCACUACUACAUCAUAUGAUGUACCGCAUGGUUCAAUAGUGAUACACGGCUUUGGUGUCACUAAUAGAUGGUUUCGCACCGGCUUAGCUAGUUGGUAAGGUAACGGCCUACCAAGGCAACGAUGCGUAGCCGAUCUGAGAGGAUGAUCGGCCACACUGGAACUGAGACACGGUCCAGACUCCUACGGGAGGCAGCAGUAGGGAAUCUUCCGCAAUGGGCGAAAGCCUGACGGAGCAAUGCCGCGUGAGUGAAGAAGGUCUUCGGAUCGUAAAGCUCUUUUAUUGGGGAAGAACAGAUGUAUAAGUAACUAUGCACGUCUUGACGGUACCUAAUCAGAAAGCCCCGGCUAACUACGUG
rnacentral:rRNA from 1 species